rnacentral:rRNA from 1 species
UACGUAGGGACCGAGCGUUGUCCGGAUUCAUUGGGCGUAAAGAGCUCGGUAGGCGGCUGUUCAAGUCGAACGUGAAAACUCGGAGCUCAACUCCGAGCCUGCGUUCGAUACUGGACGGCUAGAGUCUGGUAGGGGGAUCUGGGAAUUCCUGGUGUGAGCGGUGGAAUGCGCAGAUAUCAAGGAGGAACACCGGUGGCGAAGGCGGGAUCCUGGGCCAGUACUGACGCUGAGGAGCGAAAGCGUGGGGAGCAAACGGG